AUCCGGCUGAUGAGUCUCAAAUAGGAUGAAAGGCGCGUGCUGGAU
rnacentral:hammerhead_ribozyme from 1 species